ACCAGCGUGGAGGGGGGAGGGGCGCGCACCCUUUCCGCCCAGGCUUUUGCGGGCUCCUCGGGCCGAAUCCGAAGGGCUGUUCCUGAACCUUGACUUGCUUAUCAUAGGGACCCAAGCUCUAUUUUUGUAUGGCCAAUUCGUGCACUGCAGCAAAAUGGCCCUUCAGUCGCAUCUUGGGGUUUCUCCUCGGUUCAAAUGCUCUCGCGCUGAGAUAAAGCCGAAGGAAAAAAAAGCGACACCCUCCCUCCCCCAUUAAUUAUUUGUGGGGCCAGAGUAACGCGGGCUGGUGCAACCGGUGCAUAUAAGGACUUGUGUGCAAGGAAGGGGAUCCGCCUCCAGGCGCGGAAAGAGUGGGGGAGAAGCGCACACGCACAGUGCACCCAGCUGGGCGCUUCGGCAGUUUGCAGCUGCGGCGGGGUUGGGUCUACCCGCGGUCCCCGGAAUGCCGGACGGCUGGUCCCGGGUGUUGGUCACUCGCCGAUUCGGGGCUGGGAAGGUUUGCCAGAAGCGGGAAAGAUGGGAGAUCUGAGCGCUCUUUUGGCAUCGCCACACCCAGGACCUGCUCGUGCCGCAAUUCCCCACGGAAACAACCGAGUUGAAACGAGAAGCUUGCACUCUGGGUGCAGUAGCUAGAAGGCUUCAGGUAACUCCAAAGCCAACACUGGGUGAGGCAACACACGCCGCCUCAGGACUCAGCAUUUCUUUCAGGCUGCGUUUUCGUGGCAGACCUACCCAGAUUGAUGGAGAAAGUUUGGCUGGCAGAUAAGAAGUAACGCGGAAGAUGUGUACGUGAGAGCGAUUUCACUUCACUCACACUUUCUCAUUUAAAGGUUGGAUGUUUUACAGUGGUAUACAUGAUCCUCCUUCUGUAAUCAAGAGUGGGAAGUCGCUUCCCCCAAUCCCCGCGCAGCCCUUCUUCUCCCGCCUUAGCCACGCAAAAUACCUAGAAAGAAAACACUAAAACUGAACUUUUUUCCAAAUACAGCAGUAGCUUUGAAAGCAUUCUUUGCUCCUCUGUUAACAGCAGAAUGUACUUCUGACCAGUGCACUGAUGGUUUCUUAAUCAUGCAGUGUGAAGAUCAGCUUCAAAAUUAUCGUGGCUGUCACUCAGGUUUUCUGCUCAUUGGUAGACAAAGGGUGAGGAGGUGACUGAAAUUGGAACAGUGGAAGGACCCUUCACCAAAACCUGGAACUUCAGAAGAAUGGCAAGGCUGAAAAUGAUUAGUGUCAAUUCAUUCCAGUUGUGGUACCCUACCCAUAAGAUAUGACUAGAGACCACUCCUCUUUCCUAGUUCGAGGAAUAGGAAGACUUGUUUCUUUGUAUCUUGUUUGUUUCCAAACUUGGUUCUCUGUGCUAGUUAUUUAUUGCUUUAUAACAAACCACCACUAAACUCAAGGACUUAAAACAGUAACAGUCAUUUCUAUAGCUCAAAAAUGUAUAAUUUGGGCAGGAUUUCGUGGGGAAGGCUCAUUUGCUCCACAGAGCAUGAGGUAGGGCUGGAGGACCCACUUCCAAAAUGGCUUGCUCACAUGCCUAGCAAGUGUGAUGUUAGGCUAUCAAGAGUGCUCAGCCAGGGCUGAUGGCUGGGAGCUUCUCUUCCUCUCCGGGUGGGUCUCUCCACGGUCUGUUGGAGCUUCUUCAUGGCAUAGUGUCUGAGUUGCAAGAACAAGCAUCCCAUGAGAACCAGGUAGAAGCUGUAUUUCCUUUUCUGACCUAGCCUCAGAAGUCAUGCGACUUCAUUUCCACCACUGUCAUAAAUCUACCCGGACUCAAGAGGAGGAUGCAGAGAUGCCACCUUUCAAUAAGAGGAUUAUCUAAGUUGCAUUGAAGAAGAGCAUGUGGGAUGGAAGAUACUAUUGCAGUAUUUUUGGAAACUAAAGUCUACUGCAUUCUUCAAGCCUUACCAUCAAUUCUCUGUCCUCAGCAUUCUCCCCUUUGCUCACGUUAGCCAGAGUUGGUUUCUGCUUUUGCUUAUAACCAAAGAAUAAUGUAGCUGGCAUAAGCACAAACAUAUCAGAAUAAGUAUAAAUAUUUAAAUUUCCUUAUUAAAAGACAGAAGCUCUCAGAAUUUGUAGAAACAAAGCAAAAACAACCCCAAUAAAUUAAGAAUGUGGAUGCUUUUCAAAUCUUCCACAGAAAAUUAACAACAUUGGACCAGGCCAAAAAGUACGCUUUCUAUAAUUUCCCAAAAGCAACAAUCAUACAUACCAUAUUAUUAGUAGAUUUCAACAUUCAUGUAAUAGAUCCAUCUAAAUCUGUAAUUCUCAAUUAUUGAAACUUUUUCACUAGAAUGACUUUAGUUUCUCACCGUACUUAAAGUUACUCCCAGAGGCCCACCCAAGAAUUUAUCAUCAUCUUGAACAGCUCUUCUUUAGAAAAUAAAGCUCCAAUUUUCCUUUGUCCAAUUAGUCUACCUUCCAGCUUCCCGGCAGCCUUCACUAACAUUACUGCUGUUUUUCACUGACAUUACCGCUGCCUUACAAAGACUCCAUUUCUGUCCAUUGGUAGCAUUCUUUAUUAUUUUCCAGUUGGUCUUACCUCUUACCCUUCUUCUUUCCAACUUUGUGCUGGACCUCAGAGUGCCUGAAGGAGCCUCAAUUUCCAUGUACUGUCUUCCAUAUAAUGUGAUCUGAGGUGAAGAGCAUGGUCCCUGGAGUUGAACUGCCUGAAGUCAAAUCCUAAAAUUGAAAAAUAAAAAUAAAACAGUGGUUUUAUUGUUUUUA